rnacentral:rRNA from 1 species
UACAGAGGUCUCGAGCGUUGUUCGGAUUCAUUGGGCGUAAAGGGUGCGUAGGUGGCACUGUAAGUCGGGUGUGAAAUCCUGGGGCUUAACCCCGGAACUGCAUUCGAUACUGCAGUGCUUGAGGACUGGAGAGGAGACUGGAAUUCACGGUGUAGCAGUGAAAUGCGUAGAGAUCGUGAGGAAGACCGGUGGCGAAGGCGGAUCUCUGGACAGUUCCUGACGCUGAGGCGCGAAGGCCAGGGGGGCAAACGGG